AACAACAAGUCUACAUCGGGCCUGGAUGUACUAUACCUCUGCAGCUCAAUUUCAGUUUCCGUAGCAUGGAGGGACUAAAGGGUGGCACACGGAGACAUGUAAGAGAGACUUUUGUCUCCGCAACAUGUUGCAUGAAAUUCAGCAGUUUUGAAUUCGUGCGUAAUGAAGCAGGGACAAAAUGACCUCCAUUUUUUAAUGUCGCAUCAUGUACACUGCUCUUGCAAACUGUCACCGCUACAACAUAAGAAUGAACCAAUAUCCGCUUGCGUACUGUCCCUGCAACAUACGUCCUAUGCGUAUACACUAAGGGGCUUGUCCCAGCUUCACGUUCCCGCAACAUGUCCCCUAGUGUGUGCCGACCUUUUCUUAACGAGUCUUUCCUUGGCUUGCAGCAUUCAUUGGAGCUUUCACCAUUCCAAAGAUUUACGACAUGUACAGGACGGAGAUUGAUUCGUGUAUGGGAAAAAUAAAGAGUGCUGUAGAGGACGCCACUGGCAAGAUUACUGCAAAAGUACCGCUGACAAAGGGAAAAGAAGCUUCGACUUCUAACGACAAGGAAGUCCACGAGGAUAUCGACAACGAUAAGAAGGCAUCUUAAGUGAAACCGUUAACUACAAAAUCAAAUUGCUAAAAAUACACAAAUCAUAGGAUAAUUCUUAUAAUUUGAGCCCAUUGUUUUCAAUUAUAAUAUUUAAUUUUUUUUAUUGCUACAGUCUGGUACCCCAAAACCAAGACACAUUUUGUUAAUUACAGAGUAACAUCGUGCUCCUUCGUCUCCGACUCCCUACACAAGGGGUCUGCGCAGUUGACGUGCUGGAAUUGCAGUCACCAGUUAAAAUUUUAGGCAUUUCUCAGCUAUCGUUAAAGUUUUCAGAUCUCAGAUGUUAGCUAUCAGUUAAAAACACAUCACUUCUCAUUUGACAGUUAAAAUUUGACCAAUUCUUAGUUAGAAAAUACCUUUUUUAUUGUCAGCCUUGUUUUGGACAUAACUUAUGUCCCUAUUUCGUUCUCGUUCCCACUGCUGAUUGAUAUUUCCAGCCGAAAAGAACUGGCCAUGUACUCAAAGAUCUAAUACUUCCUGUGCGAGGGCCUUUUGGAGCUUAGGUUCCAGUAGCUGGGAUAAUCGAAUAUCUCUGGGAAUAAGAAUAUGAUGAAAGUGAGGGUUUUUAUCUGCUGGAAAUGGUUGCUCCGACUCUUAAGUAAUUUUUUUUGCUCAAACUUGAAGUUGAAAUGAUCGAUUCAAAAGAGCCCACUUAUUCAAGAAAACCCAAGAAGCCUUAGAAGUUAGUUGCACAAGUUAUUUGAAUCCAUUUAGUACGUUAAUUAAAAAAAUUCUUAAAUUCGUAGCCUUAGAUCAAAAAUCAAUAAAUUAUAAUAACGAAUCCUAACAUAUCCAUAAUUAUAAAAUAAGGAUAAAAAUUGUAAUUUUAAUUUACUGUGUAUAAUCAGAAGACCAAGUGUUUACAGUCAAUUAAACAAACGUCCAAACCAAACCAAACUAAUUCUCUUAGUAACGUUCUCGUUGAAGUCGCCAAUGCCACGUUACAGGUACUUUCCAGAGAGAAUUGAGAGUACGAUAGUUAAUCCCCCAUAGUUCUUAUUCUCAAAUUAAUCACUCGCAAGUUAUUGUAAGAUCACUCUUGGUUACAGAAUCCCAGGAGAGUGUGGAAAUAAAUAAUAAUGUGACGUGAAUUUUACUCAGGUGGACAGCCCAAGUGACUUUGUACGUAUUUUCUGAGAUCCUUCGCAAAAACAUCUUAGUAACGCUCUCAGAAACGUUAUCUGCGGAAGGAAUGGGUACUGUGUCUAAAAAUAACUUGAUAGGGAUUUCCUUAGGCAUAAGGCCUGCCAGUGGGGGAUUAACUAUUUUACUCUUAAGCCUCUCUUGGCACUGUUAAUAUCUGGUACAGCUACACCAGAACGUACCUUUUAACAACUCUUUGGACAUUUUGUUAUCAGUUUAUUUAUCAAAGAUUGUUUAAGUGCAAUGAUGAUGUAAAAAGAAAGUUAUCUUAUUAAAAUAUAGCAACGCUUGAAGCAAAAGCCAGACAAAUUUGUUGUGCAUUAUUGUAUAUGUAAUAGGACUUCAUGCUAUUCGACUUAAAAAAAGGCGGCUGAAAAAAAUUCCGAGGAAUGACAAGAUUGGACGAGGUCACGGGCCAAGCACAUAUUGGCAGUCAGAGAAUUUUUAUAAUUAAAUAACUAGAUAAAACCGUAUUUCCUGUUAAUUUUAUCGCGUACAGAACUGUCCAAAUUACUUGUAAAUUUGGACACAAAUUAGGAAUUAAUCUGCAGUAUUAAAAUGAAAAGAUAGUCGUGUGUGCUUUAUAGGAUUUUGUGUAACAAUGUAAUUUAUCUUUAAAUGGGCUCUUUGCUCUACAAUGUUCGCUAUAUAUUAAACCAACCAGUCCUGUAAAAUUCUCAGAACAACUCUGACACUGACAGGUACUUACAUAUACUUUAUUUUGCCUCGAGCAGUUGGGGCUUGCUAGGCUCCUAGCUUAAACAGCUAACGAGUCGAGUCAAAGAAAACUUAAAAUCUAACUAAAGAGAAUUAUAUCUGUUCGUGUAAUAACUUUACUUUACGUCAUUGGCUAAUCAAGUUAUUUGUUAACUUAAACUAAGAUACUAAAACAUUGGAUCACGUAUGCUCGAUAAACG